GUGAGGAAUUUUGCGCAAUGGCCGCAAGGCUGACGCAGCAACGCCGCGUGGGUGAUGAAGGCCUUCGGGUCGUAAAGCCCUGUCAGGUGGGAAGAAAGGCUUGGAGAAGCAACGCUUUGAGUUUGACGGUACCACCAGAGGAAGCACCGGCUAACUCCGUGCCAGCAGCCGCGGUAAUACGGAGGGUGCGAGCGUUAUUCGGAAUUACUGGGCGUAAAGCGCGUGUAGGCGGGGAUGCAAGUCUGAUGUGAAAGCCCUGGGCUUAACCUGGGAAGUGCAUUGGAAACUGCAUUUCUUGAGUACUGGAGAGGAAGGGGGAAUUCCCGGUGUAGAGGUGAAAUUCGUAGAGAUCGGGAGGAAUACCAGUGGCGUAGGCGCCCUUCUGGACGGUAACUGACGCUGAGACGCGAAAGCGUGGGGAGCAAACAGGAUUAGAAACCCGAGUAGUCC
rnacentral:rRNA from 1 species